rnacentral:piRNA from 1 species
UUUGUAGCAUAAGCUCUCUAA